CACACACCGCCCGUCACGUGACGAAAGUCGGUUUUCGCCCGAAGUCGCUGCGCCAACCGCAAGGAGGCAGGCGCCGAAGGCAGAGCCGGUAAUUGGCGCG
rnacentral:rRNA from 1 species